CGCGGUCCUCCUAGGAGAUUCGCUAGGAUGGCGUCAAUGUUCUGUAGUUUCGUUUCUUGUAGGCAUGCAAUGUGGCACGUCGUUGCCAGUAGUAGUUCGCGUAUUGUUAGGCAUCUGACGGGUGCGUUUAAGCCUCUUACGUUCCAGCUCAGUAUUUCAAAAUUACCAUUCAUCUAAGUUGUGGUUGGGUCGCUUGCUUGCUGGCCAUGUAGUUGUGGCGUGUCGUUU
rnacentral:lncRNA from 1 species